rnacentral:lncRNA from 1 species
AACACCGUGGGGCAUGAUGACCCGCUGCGUGGCAAUAGCUGCUCCCAGGUAUGCCUGGGAUAGGGCUGUAGCUCCGGGUAGGGUACACAGAGGUAUCCACCUCUGAAUUGCACAGCUGGAGAGAAAGAUGUGAGCUGUGUCCCAGCGUGGGUGUCCUCGCAGCCCGUGUCAUACCCGAGUGAGCUGCUUCCAGCAGUGACUUAAAUGCAAACAGCAGAAAGCCACUAAAUCCUGACAUUUGCCCCUUCCCAUCAGGCAUUGGCACUGGCUGAUCCCUUUGUGCUUUCCAGAAAUAGCUGGGGCUCUGUGUGCCUUUCAGCCUUGGCUUUGGGGAGAGGUGAGGACUACAGAGGGAAAUCCCAGCAGCGGGACUGGCCCUGAUCUGCUGUGAACAGGAUUACAGACUUCAAAUACGCUGUAAAAGGAACCCGUAUACAACCCUUCAAAAUCACUUAAGUGGGCCAAUGACAGAAGUACCAGCCCUGCAAGUACAUACAGAACACUGCGGAAAUCAUCCCCCGUGUUUAUUUAUGAGCCACUUUUAAUUACUCAGCGGGAAUGAAUGAAAGAGGUGGAAAAUGGGAAGCGACAGAGGGCUUUGCAUUGAGUUACAGCUCGUGGAGAGCAAAGGGAGAGAUCACGGCGCUUUCAAGUCGCGAUGGUCGGAGGGUAUAAUUACACCCUGCUGCUUUAUGGGCCAAACCUCAGAGAAUUCAAUGGCAAACUGUGUUUCAGAGAGCGUGAGGAGCCCUCAGAAGGCUUCACACAGCACUGAGGAAGAGCAGAAUGCUUCACAUAGGCAGCAGCAGGCAUGGCAGAGCCCUGGGCUCAGCAAGGUCACCUGUCUGAAGGGGAGCUGCACGGACAGCAGUGCGAG